UGAUGAUGAUGAUGAUGAUGAUGAUGAUGAUGAUGACGACGAUAAUAAUAAUUAUUAUUAUCAAAAUUAUCAUCACCAUCGUCAUCAUCAUUCUUG
rnacentral:pre_miRNA from 1 species